CCCUUUUGACAGCUGCUUCCCAACCAGAACCAGACCAGGAACUGCUAGCAGAACUACCUGGACUUCCACUGCUGUCAGAAGGCAGUGACCACUAAAGGAGGUGAUAUCUCUGUGUGCGAAUGGUACCAGCAUGUGUACAAGUCCCUCUGCCCCACAUACUGGGUCACAGCCUGGGACAAGCACUGGGCUGAAGGCACGUUUCCCGGGAAGAUC
rnacentral:lncRNA from 1 species